CAGUCGCCACGGGAAUACGGAGGGGGCUAGCGUUGUUCGGAAUUACUGGGCGUAAAGCGCACGUAGGCGGCUUGGUAAGUUAGAGGUGAAAGCCUGGAGCUCAACUCCAGAAUUGCCUUUAAGACUGCCGAGCUAGUAGGUGAGAGAGGUAAGUGGAAUUCCGAGUGUAGAGGUGAAAUUCGUAGAUAUUCGGAAGAACACCAGUGGCGAAGGCGGCUUACUGGCUCAUUCUAGACGCUGAGGUGCGAAAGCGUGGGGAGCAAACAGGAUUAGAGACCCCCGUAGUCCCUGUCUCUUAUAC
rnacentral:rRNA from 1 species